GAUGAACGCUGGCGGCGUGCCUAAUACAUGCAAGUCGAGCGAACGGACGAGAAGCUUGCUUCUCUGAUGUUAGCGGCGGACGGGUGGGUAACACGUGGAUAACCUACCUAUAAGACUGGGAUAACUUCGGGAAACCGGAGCUAAUACCGGAUAAUAUUUUGAACCGCAUGGUUCAAAAGUGAAAGACGGUCUUGCUGUCACUUAUAGAUGGAUCCGCGCUGCAUUAGCUAGUUGGUAAGGUAACGGCUUACCAAGGCAACGAUGCAUAGCCGACCUGAGAGGGUGAUCGGCCACACUGGAACUGAGACACGGUCCAGACUCCUACGGGAGGCAGCAGUAGGGAAUCUUCCGCAAUGGGCGAAAGCCUGACGGAGCAACGCCGCGUGAGUGAUGAAGGUCUUCGGAUCGUAAAACUCUGUUAUUAGGGAAGAACAUAUGUGUAAGUAACUGUGCACAUCUUGACGGUACCUAAUCAGAAAGCCACGGCUAACUACGUGCCAGCAGCCGCGGUAAUACGUAGGUGGCAAGCGUUAUCCGGAAUUAUUGGGCGUAAAGCGCGCGUAGCGGUUUUUUAAGUCUGAUGUGAAAGCCCACGGCUCAACCGUGGAGGGUCAUUGGAAACUGGAAAACUUGAGUGCAGAAGAGGAAAGUGGAAUUCCAUGUGUAGCGGUGAAAUGCGCAGAGAUAUGGAGGAACACCAGUGGCGAAGGCGACUUUCUGGUCUGUAACUGACGCUGAUGUGCGAAAGCGUGGGGAUCAAACAGGAUUAGAUACCCUGGUAGUCCACGCCGUAAACGAUGAGUGCUAAGUGUUAGGGGGUUUCCGCCCCUUAGUGCUGCAGCUAACGCAUUAAGCACUCCGCCUGGGGAGUACGACCGCAAGGUUGAAACUCAAAGGAAUUGACGGGGACCCGCACAAGCGGUGGAGCAUGUGGUUUAAUUCGAAGCAACGCGAAGAACCUUACCAAAUCUUGACAUCCUUUGACAACUCUAGAGAUAGAGCCUUCCCCUUCGGGGGACAAAGUGACAGGUGGUGCAUGGUUGUCGUCAGCUCGUGUCGUGAGAUGUUGGGUUAAGUCCCGCAACGAGCGCAACCCUUAAGCUUAGUUGCCAUCAUUAAGUUGGGCACUCUAAGUUGACUGCCGGUGACAAACCGGAGGAAGGUGGGGAUGACGUCAAAUCAUCAUGCCCCUUAUGAUUUGGGCUACACACGUGCUACAAUGGACAAUACAAAGGGCAGCGAAACCGCGAGGUCAAGCAAAUCCCAUAAAGUUGUUCUCAGUUCGGAUUGUAGUCUGCAACUCGACUACAUGAAGCUGGAAUCGCUAGUAAUCGUAGAUCAGCAUGCUACGGUGAAUACGUUCCCGGGUCU
rnacentral:rRNA from 1 species